AGCCGGAGUGAUCACUAAUAAUCGAACUGGUGUGAUCACUAAUAAUCAAACUGGAGUGACAACGCAGACAACUACAGCUGGAAGGACAACUCAGAAUCAAGGUAAC